rnacentral:rRNA from 1 species
ACUACGGGUGGCAGCAGUGAGGAAUAUUGGUCAAUGGGCGAGAGCCUGAACCAGCCAAGUCGCGUGAGGGAGUACUGCCCUAUGGGUUGUAAACCUCUUUUAUAAGGGAAGAAUAAAUGCUACGUGUAGCAUGAUGCCUGUACCUUAUGAAUAAGCAUCGGCUAACUCCGUGCCAGCAGCCGCGGUAAUACGGAGGAUGCGAGCGUUAUCCGGAUUUAUUGGGUUUAAAGGGUGCGUAGGCGGUUUUUUAAGUUAGUGGUUAAACGUCGGGGCUUCACCUUGAUUUGCCAUUAAUACUGUAAGACUCGAGUUCAGACGAGGUAGGCGGAAUAAGUUAAGUAGCGGUGAAAUGCUUAGAUAUAACUUAGAACUCCGAUAGCGAAGGCAGCUUACCAGACUGCGACUGACGCUGAAGCACGAGAGCGUGGGUAGCGAACAGGAUUAGAUACCCCUGUAGUC